UGACGUUGCUCUUAUAUUCAGUAGUUCUUCCCGACUGUAUGUAAUGAAACCUAAGAUUACCUGGGGUACCAAUGUAAGAAAUAACACGUAAAAAAAAAAAAGCUGCAUAGUUUCCUAGGAACGCGAAGCGAGGCGGCCAUCUCUGUCUGCGCCGGAAGUAGGGUUAGGGGAAACCCACCAAUCUCUAGUUUGUCACCUUAUAUGGUGCUUGUGUCUGUUCUGUGUAUAUUUUGUGUAUUUCGUGCUUUAUCACUUAAUCUGACUGACGAUGAUAGUAAGGGCUUACACUGAGUAUAGAAAACAUUAAGAACACCUGCUCGUUCCGUGACAUACACUGACCAGGGGAAUUGAGAGGUGAAAGCUAUAAUCCCUUAUUGAUGUCACUUAUUAAAAUCUACUUCAAUCAGUGUAGAUGAAGGGUAGGAAACGGGUUAAAGGAAGAUUUUUAAGCCUUGAGACAAUUGAGACGUAUUGUGUAUAUGUGCCAUUCAGAGGGUGAAUGAGGCAAGAACAAAUAUUUACGUGCCUUUUAAUGGGGUAUGGUAGUAGUUGCCAGGUGCACCGGUGCAAUGCUGCUGGGUUUUCACAAUCAAUAGUUUCCCAUGUGUAUCAAGAAUGGUCAAACAGCCAAUUUACCACAACUGUGGGAUGUUUUGGAAUCAGUAUGGGCCACCAUCCCUGUGAAACACUUUCAACACCUUGUAGAGGUGCCCCGACGAACUGAAGCUGUUGGUUAAAUUAUUUACAAUUUGUGUCAUUAUUUCGACAGGCUAUACAGCCUACACUUUCUCGUUUUGAACUUCUAAUUUGACAGCUCUAAUGCAGUUACACAUCCGACAUCGCAAAAACACCAGGGGUGCGUUCAGUUCACUUGAAUGCUUGCUACGUUGUGGAACAGCUUGUACUGAAUGACAUGUUUCCCCAAAACGUUCUUGAACAGACUUUGAGGUACGUUUGGUCUGUUUGGUGGGUGUGCCGGAGUGUGAAUCCAACCCCUCCCUGUUUUUUAACUGGUCGUUCAGUAUAGCAGUUUACCUUCAAUUUAACGUUCUAUUAAGUUUUAUGUACUGCACGCAGCCCAGCUAUGCGGGUGUAGGCCAUCCCGGCCUUAGUGAUCAUCCCGGCCUUGGAAAUCAGCUAAUUUCCUGCAAUUCAUUUUACUAUCAUAUGCUAUCUGGGGGCCCCCCGACCUCCUGAUGUGGACCCCAAAAAACCCCAAAUUAAAAAUGUCACGUUUUUGGGGGGCUUGGGGGCCCGGAGCACGUGCCCUGCAUGCCCGUUUCGGUAAUCCGGCCCUGUACCCUCUCCCAUAACAGGAAAAAGCUGAAGGAUGGGCUGGAGAAAUGUAACCACUCUCAAAUUUAAAGACAUAGCUAUGGAUGCUAGAGGGGUAUCCUACAAAGCACGCUAUAUCUACUCAGAGUUAUCGAAAGCUAACCCGCUUCAAUUAGCUUUACAUCCCAGAUAAGGCUUCAUCCAUACUACAUUGGUGGAUAUUGCUCGUUCUCCUGCCGCUAACUCUAGCAGGCUUGUAACUGCACACCCAACUUUUCAUUGAGACAAUGCUGAAACAUCAAUCCGUGGGUGAGUCCGUGCCAUAUUUUCAAUUGUGCCGAAAUCAAAAUGAAAGAAAAGUUAUCUUGCAAAUUCAGCAGCGUGAAAUAGGCUUUUAGAAGUGCCGUUAUUGUAUUAAUUAUCAUUAAUAUGCUUAUCAAUGCACAAACUCCUUUUUCCCCCCACUCUAUUUAUUAAGUCAUACAAAAAUGUUACAUUGCGUGAAGUUUCAUUCUGUCAUUACAUUGCAUUCUGUCAUUACUAAAUGUGUAAUUUUACAUUUUAACCAAAACAUUUUACACACAAAUAAAAGUGGUUAAUAAAAUAUUUAAAAUCAGUCAACUUCCUCAAAUGAAGGGGAUGAUGAUGCAAUCUUUGCAAGGGGGAGGGAUCUCGCCCUCAACUCGCAGCUCAGUCAGUUCAUGCAGGGUAAAUGGAGUUAGCCGUGAGUUCUGACUGAUUCGUUGCCAUAGAAAUGUACCUGGCAAAAGGUGAGCCACAUUCGUAUGACCAGUUAUACCUAGUUGAACUCAGAGUUGACCUUAGUUACCUCCUAACUCCUCAAACCUGCUUCGUAGGAUACCCCUUAGAACUGACCAUCCAUUGUUUUACUUUGUUUACAAACAUUGGAGUAAAACAAGCUUAUAUUUUGGGGUGCUCUGGUGGGGUACGACAGUUGAACUAAGCUUAUGAGGCAUUUAUAAGUUAUAUUCUUCAACAAUCAAUGGCUACAUAUCAUUAAUUUAUAUGUCCAAAUAUGGAUGUAGCUAUUGCAGAUUGUCCCUUUUCAGGGACCUGACUUAACCAGUCAGCAAGCUACUGUAGCUGUUCCAGUAGACUUAUUAUGCGAACACUAGUUAGCAUUGGCUCGCGAAAAUACCUCUAACUUCCUUCAUACUGGACACAGAGACAUAAAAAUAGUAUCAAUGAGUUUGCGUAAGUAGAAAAGGGGCCAACAUCUGGCACUAUCCCUUUAAAUCUCCCGAAUUGGCUAGAAAGUUACAUCCAUGUACAUAUGGUAUAGUAUUGUAGCGACCCGCACAGACAGCUGUGUCUUAUGUGCUAGGCUAGGAGGUGGUUGUGUUGUACUGACCAGUACCCAGUGUUCGCGGGGUCCGACAUGUCAAUCAACCUGCUAUCUGCCAAUCACGGGAAUGCCUGGAAUGUUCUGAUGCCGGGCAUCCUGGUGGUUGGCGGAGUGGCGUGGAGGGGGGUUGGGCAGGGGGGUGGAGCAUUGGAAGUUAAGACCAGGUUCCGCUUUUGUUCUCUGUCUUACGUCUGGGCUUCACAAGAGAAGGUCACGAUUGGCUUGUGGGUUAUCUGUCAUCUUUUUGGCGUGUGCUACGGCCCAAACAGUAGCCUGUGUAAAGUUGGUUUAAUAAACCGUCAAUUCGCAAACUCAA